CCUACGGGUGGCAGCAGUGAGGAAUAUUGGUCAAUGGACGAGAGUCUGAACCAGCCAAGUAGCGUGAAGGAUGACUGCCCUAUGGGUUGUAAACUUCUUUUAUAUGGGAAUAAAAUGUUCCACGUGUGGGCUUGUGUAUGUACCAUAUGAAUAAGGAUCGGCUAACUCCGUGCCAGCAGCCGCGGUAAUACGGUGGGUCCGAGCGUUAUCCGGAUUUAUUGGGUUUAAAGGGAGCGUAGGUGGAUUGUUAAGUCAGUUGUGAAAGGUUGGGGCUCAACCGUAACAUUGCAGUGGAAACUGGCAGUCUUGAGUACAGUAGAGGUGGGCGGAAUUCGUGGUGUAGCGGUGAAAUGCUUAGAUAUCACGAAGAACUCUGAUUGCGAAGGCAGCUCACUGGACUGCAACUGACACUGAGGUUCGAAAGUGUGGGUAUCAAACAGGAUUAGAUACCCGGGUAGUC
rnacentral:rRNA from 1 species